rnacentral:lncRNA from 1 species
GUAUAAGGACAAUGCAAAACAAAAGGCAUGUUUAGCUUAGUCUGUGACUGGGUUAUAUAUAUUUGUUUUUAAAAUACUUGAUGAAAGAUUUACAUCUUUCGUUUCCCUUUCUUGAUUUUUUUUUUGUAUUGGACUCAUUUGUACUUCUUGAACAAUAUUUAAGCCACGUACAAAUGUAACAUCAAGUCAAGAAAUAUUCUAUGGCACCAAAUUUAGUUGUUGAAUGCACGAACACAGCUCCCGAUUAAUUUAAUAGCAACUGUGAGCAUGCAUUAAAUAUCAGAAUUUCACCCUUUGUGUCUACAAUUAUGAGGAAACAAAAUGGAUAAAACAUGAAACUCUAUUUUGGUAGAUUCAUAACAGAAAUGAAAGAAGCUCUAUACUUAAUAUUGCCUAAGUCACUGUCUGUUAAUCAUAUAGGCCUUCUGGGAAAUGUAUAUCCAUCCCCUUUUGUUCACUGAGGACUCUUGGCUUUCUUGAUGUCAGGGAGUAACCUAGAUCUUGAGAGAAGAGACCUUCUUGUCCUCAUUCUCUCCUCAAAAAGGAAAGGGGAAAGUCAAGAGUGGACAAAUGUAGAUACAGCUUAUCUUAUCUAAAGUGAAUCCAGGAGCUGGCCUGCUGUUUCAACAAGGUAGCCAUUUCUAAGCAAUAAAAAACCCCAAAAACCCAGAAGACAAAAAUACCCCUCCACAAACAUAAAGAAAUACUGUGGUAUUAUGGUCAUCAGAGCCUGUGUGGCACUGCCCACAAGUCCUUGGUGGGUUCUGGAGCUGUCCAAGGUUCCAAAGUUCCAGGGAGGGAGCCUGCAGCAGUCAGAGGGCUCUGGGCUCUGCUUCAACUCAGUACUGUGAGGAGCAUAAGGACAUCAUGACAUCUGGACUAACAUCCUACAGAAUUGUAGAGAAGGUCAAAUAUAAAACACAAGCAACUAUAUAUGAAAAGUGUUAUGUUUUUAUCUCCCCAAUGCUUGGAUUUUUAUUUAACAUUACAAAUAUUUUCUGAGGGAUGCGUGGGUGGCUCAGUGGUUGAGCAUCUGCCUUCAGCUCAGAGCAUGAUCCUGUGAUCCCAGGAACAAGUCCCACAUCAGGCUCCCUGCAUAGAGCCUGCUUCUCCCUCUGCCUCUGCCUCUCUCUGUGUGUCUCAUAAAUAAAUAAAUAAAUAAAAUAUUAAAAAAAAAAAAACAAAUAUUUUCUGAACAGAUCUACCAACCUAGAAAAUGUUAGUGAUCAAGAACUCUUUAAAGAAUACUGACUGUUUCAUUUAAUAUACCAAAAACUAAAAACACAAUCAUC